rnacentral:rRNA from 1 species
CACGUAGUUAGCCGGGGCUUCUUCUGGAGGUACCGUCACCCUCUGGGCUAUUCACCCGAGUAGCUUCGUCCCUCCUGAAAGAGGUUUACAACCCGAAGGCCUUCUUCCCUCACGCGGCGUCGCUGCGUCACGGUUUCCCGCAUUAGCGCAAGAUUCCCCACUGCUGCCUCCCGUAGGAGUCUGGGCCGUGUCUCAGUCCCAGUGUGGCUGAUCGUCCUCUCAGACCAGCUACGGAUCGUCGCCUUGGUGAGCCGUUACCUCACCAACAAGCUAAUCCGCCGCGGGCUCGUCCUCGACCGGAGGCCGAAGCUACCUUUUCCUCCGGAUCCGAGGAUCCAAAGGGCCAUCCGGUAUUAAUCCGGGUUUCCCCGGGCUAUCCCAGUGUCGAGGGUUGAUUACCCACGUGUUACUCACCCGUUCGCCGCUGUCCCCAGGCCCGAAGGCCUGGCUCUCGCUCGACUUGCAUGUGUUAAGCGCGCCGCCAGCGUUCGUCCUGAGCCAGGACGUCAAAACUCUA